CGGCUCGGUCCUGCCCCGCGUCCCUGCAGUUCACAAAGGGCGUCGGCCAGCUCCUGGGUGGUGACCUCGAUGAACUUGGGAUCUUGAGCAAACUGCCCCAGUCCUUCUGAAAUCAAGACCUGAAGGAGCGGGGUGGGAGCCAUGAAGAACCAAAGGAACAUUACUCCUGGAGCCCAGCUCUUCCCUUGAGGGCUAGAGCGAGGGGGUAUCUGGUAGGUCACUUGGGGAAGUGUGCGUGUGUGCACGUGUACGUGUGUGUGUUGGGAGGGGCACCCAUGGGGAACAAGUGGAGAUGGAGCAUCUGCCAGAAUUAGGGAUGUGCAGGCCAGAGAAGUUUUGGCUGGGGUGGUCAAACACUGUCAUCAAAUAUAUGAAGACUUGCUUAUGGCCCAGCACGGUGGCUCACACCUGUCACCCAGCACUUUGGGAAGCCCAGGCAGAAGGACUGCUUGAGCCCAGGAGUUCGAGACCAGGCCCAGGCAACACAGGGAAACUUCGUCUCUACAAAAAAUUUAAGAAUAAUUAGCUGGGUGUGGUGAUGCACACCUGUGAUCUUAGCAAGGCCAGAGACUGAGGUGGGAGGAUCAUUUGACCCCAGCAGCGCCAGGCUGCACUGAGCUGUGAUUGUACCACUACACUCCAGCCUGGGUGACAGAGCGAGACCCUGUCUCAAAAAACAACCAAAACAAAAACCAGAGAAGGUUUGGCUCUCAGAGGGGCCGGGGGGUUGCCCUGAUGCUGUAUCAGCAGAUCCCAGCCUGCCUCUCUCCUUUCUGACACCCACUGAACCUUUAUACUAUUCUUUCAGAGAAACCAUUCUCCCUGGUGAAACUGCUGAGACAGGCCCACUGCCCAUUGCCUGCUGCUGCCUUUCCAGGGGUGAGGUAUCUGUGCAAACACGGCGCAUGCCCCUGCCUUGCUUCUGCUGGGAAGGGCCAGCAGGUGACCCUUAAGCUUCUCUGUCCUCCCUACCGGCUGCUUAGUGCCUGGCUAUGGGAAAAUCGGCUCCUGAGCCAGCGGGUCGGGGGAAGCUGAGUGCAGCCUGGCACUCGCUCCUUUCAGGCAUCUGUUUGUCUUGCUCCUUGCCCACGCCACUCAUUCUCUCCUUGCCCUGCUUAGUUUUUCUUUGGCACUCCUGACCUUCCUGAUGUGUUAUAUAUGUAUGUGUUUAUUAUCUGUCUCUCCUCACCAUGAUGUGAGCUCAUGAGAGCAGAAGCUCUGUUUCUCAGCUGUGUCCCUGUACCUAGAACAGGGCCUGCACAUGGUAGGCGCUCAGGGAAGGUCUGUGAAAUGAAUGCAGGAUGAUCGAGGCCACAGGAAUACCAGACUUUGAGAGGUAAACCUUGGAAGCCACCUGGUUUAACGCCCCACCUCCUGCACCACAGCCUGACGCCCGGAUGAGCACAGUCUCUGCUUGGCUAUGUCUGAUGAUGGGGGGCUCACUACCUUUCAGGCAAGCCCCUCUCAUCUUGGAAGAGCUCAUUUGGGAAGGUCUUCCCCAUGUGAGCUGAAAUCUGUCCGCUGGUGGGCUGAGCCUGCCACCCUUUCCCCAUCCCACCCGUUGCAGGUGUGAGAGGUGUAUCGCACCCUCCAAAGUCACCUCCUCUCCAGGUUUUCUUCCCGAAUUCCCUGAAACGGUUCUCCUAGGAAAUGGUUUCUAGGAACCUUGCCAUCCUGGUCAUCCUCUGUUGGGUUUGUUCCAGUGUGUCAAAGGUCCCUAAUAAUGUGGUGCCGGGAUUGCACUAGAUGCUCUGACCAGGCAGAGCACAGUGGGACUGAAAGCUCGCUUGUUCUAGGCUAGUGGCUCUCAACCUUGCUACACGUUAAAAUCAUCGAAGAGCUUUAACAAUCAUCAGUUAAUCUGUCCCGGGUUUCCAAAGCUCCCCAGGUGAUGCUCACGGGCAGUCAGGCCUGAGCACCUUGGAUCUUGCCUGUCUGUGUAUAAAGGCAGCCAGGCUCACAUUUGCAUGUCGAGCAGCUGCAGUAUAAGGGAUAAGUUGCUCAGUGGUUUCUGCCGCCCUCUGCAGUGGGCCCAGCCUCAAGAGAGCCCAUAGCAUCUUGUGCAGUCAUGGCUUUCCGCACACGAGCCCUCCUGCAGCCCUGAGAGGGAGGGUCUUUCGGGCUCAGAUAUUGACUGCAAUGAAUUUGGCAAGAGCCAGGUGCUCCCUUCUCAGCCCCGCAUGCCAAGUCCCCUUGUUGCCCGUGGCCUCUCC
rnacentral:lncRNA from 10 species